GUUAUUUAUAUUUUGGGCCAGGUUAUUUGUUUUAUUGGGCUUGGGUCGGAUUAUUUUGGUUGGAUCUGUAGUUUUUAAAUUUUUGAAAGGUUAUUUGGACAUUUACACCUGUUUUGAUUAAAAAAAAGAAAAGAUAAAUAAAAUUAUAAGGAAUGGGUGGCAUUGCUGAUCAUUAUUUCGGAGAAAGUGGCAUUCCUGCCAUUUAUUCUCUUAUGUUUGGAUUUAUAUUAUUGAUUUUUUUUAAAUCGAAAAACGAGUAAAGGACGAAAAAUCCAAGGCAAACCACUGAAACUACAAUAAAACUUAAUUUAUUAGGGUUGGACCCAAUACAAAACGUAAAUAUUCGGGCCAGUUGUAUUAUUUACCCUAGAAAAACCUAAGUAAAAAACUAACUUUUCAACUUCAACUUCUCGACUUCUUUCCUUCUUUCUCCGUCGUCUUUCUCUCCCUUCUCUCGUCUCCGACGACAUCAAUUUUUGCCGAAAAACUCAAUCUCUUCUCUUCUCGUUGUCGGCUCCGUUUUCGUUUCGUCUUUGUCUCUUUCAUCUCCGUAUAUUUCUUUUCCAAUGGCUAGAGUAAAAGACUCUCGUGGGGAAUAUGAAUCAAGUGAUAGGGUUGAAGCCGGCGAAAUUCCUCAAUCAGUCGAAGAGGCCGCCGAGAUUCCUCAAAGAGAUGAAGAAGGCGCAGAGCUUCUUACAACAGAAGAAGAGGCCGGCGAAAUUCAGCCUACAACUGGAGUUGCAACCGAUUGUGACGCCGCCGAUUUGGGUCAUUCUAACACCGUCGAAUUGUAUCCAACAAAGGAUCUUUUAGACCCAAUUGCCGAAUCUUCUGAUGAAGAAGAAGAGGCAACAAAUGCAUAUGUUAAUGUUGAUGAUGCAGCAAAUGAGGUAUGAGAGAAGACCGUUAUUUUUUUGGAUUGUCUUAGGCUGGUUUUAGGAGAUUAUGCAUCGGUAAAUGAUUGGAUUUGUGAAUGUUGCUUCAGAUAAAACAAGUAGUACAAGUAGGUUGUAAAUUUGUGAAUGAUCAUUCAGGAACAAGUAGUAGAACUAGGUCGUUAAUGUGGAAUUGAAAGUAUUUUGGAUUGAAUAUGCAGGAUGAUGGUGAUGAUGAUAACCUGCCGCAGAAUAUGCAGGAUGAUGAUGAUGAUGAUAACCAACCAUUGCCGCCAGAAGUUAUGUAAUUUGAUCCAACUAACUACACGAAGGUGUGUAAGAUAGGAACGAGGUGUCAGUUGGUACAAACAGUGGAAUUUAUAGAGACUUUGGAUGCAGAACUGAAGUGGUUUAGGAAUCAUGACCAAUUUAAGCACAUAUUCCACAUGCCUAAGGAGCCCAAUCACAUGAUUCAAGGCAUGUGGAUGCUUAUGGUUCGCACGGCUAAGACAGAAUUGGAGAGAGAGUGUUGGUUUGUUGUCAAUGGAGUACCUAUAAGGUACUCA
rnacentral:sRNA from 1 species